CGGUCCGGGAGCGGCCCACGUCCUAUCAGCUUGUUGGUGGGGUAAUGGCCUACCAAGGCGAUGACGGGUAGCCGGCGUGAGAGCGUGAUCGGCCACAUCGGGACUGAGACACUGCCCGGACACCUACGGGUGGCUGCAGCAACGAAUAAUCCGCAAUGGGCGAAAGCCUGACGGUGCGACGCCGCGUGAAGGAUGAAGUUCCUCGGGAUGUAAACUUCAAUAGUAUGUCAGGAAGAUCUGACCAGCAUACGAAAGGGGUGGCUAACUCCGUGCCAGCAGCCGCGGUAACACGGAGACCCCUAGCGUUGUUCGGAAUCACUGGGCUUAAAGAGCGUGUAGGCGGAACGGUAAGUACCUUGUGAAAGCCCCCGGCUCAACCGGGGAAUGGCUCGGUAUACUAUCGUUCUUGAGGCAGGUAGGGGUUGCUGGAACCUUAGGUGGAGCGGUGAAAUGCGUAGAUAUCUAAGGGAACGCCUGUGGCGAAAGCGGGCAACUGGACCUGUACUGACGCUGAGACGCGAAAGCGUAGGUAGCGAACGGGAUUAGAUACCCCGGUAGUCCUGGCCAUAAACGAUGUCCACUAGAUCGGUGAACUUCUGACAGUGCGCCGGUCGAAACAAAAGUAUUAAGUAGACCGCCUGGGGAGUACGGUCGCAAGGCUAAAACUCAAAGGAAUUGACGGGGGCUCACACAAGCGGGGGAGCAUGUUGCUUAAUUCGAUGCAACGCGAAGAACCUUAUCCUGGACUUGACAUGUUUGGAUGCCUCCCUGGAAACAGGGUUGGUUGCCCUUUCGGGUGAAACAUUCACAGGUGCUGCAUGGCUGUCGUCAGCUCGUGUAGUGAGAUGUUGGGUUAAGUCCCGUAACGAGCGAAACCCUUGUCGUUAGUUGCCAGCGCGUAAUGGCGGGGACUCUAGUGAGACUGCCGGUGUUAAACCGGAGGAAGGUGGGGAUGACGUCAAGUCCUCAUGGCCUUUAUGCCCAGGGCUGCAAACGUGCUACAAUGGCCGGUACAAAGCGACGCGAGACCGUGAGGUGGAGCAAAUCGCAUAAAGCCGGCCCCAGUUCGGAUAGUAGUCUGCAACUCGACUACUUGAAGUUGGAAUCGCUAGUAAUCGCGUAUCAGCGUGACGCGGUGAAUGUGUUCCUGAGCCCUGUACACACCGCCCGUCAAGUCAUGGAAGCUGGUAGUACCCGAAGUCGGCACGAAUCAGUGCUGCCUA
rnacentral:rRNA from 1 species